GGGGGGGGGGGGGGGGGGGGGGGGGGGGGGGGGGGCGAGGGGGGGGGCCCUGGUUGGGUGGGGUGCCCGAGUGGCGAACGGGUGAGUAACACGUGGGUAACCUGCCCUUGACUUUGGGGUCACUUCAGGAAACUGGGGCUAAUACCGGCUAGGAGCUCCUGCUGCAUGGUGGGGGUUGGAACGUUUCGGCGGUUGGGGAUGGACUCGCGGCUUAUCAGCUUGUUGGUGGGUUAGUGGCUUACCAAGGCUUUGACGGGUAGCCGGCCUGAGAGGGUGACCGGCCACAUUGGGACUGAGAUACGGCCCAGACUCCUACGGGAGGCAGCAGUGGGGAAUAUUGCACAAUGGGCGGAAGCCUGAUGCAGCAACGCCGCGUGCGGGAUGACGGCCUUCGGGUUGUAAACCGCUUUCGCCUGUGACGAAGCGUGAGUGACGGUAAUGGGUAAAGAAGCACCGGCUAACUACGUG
rnacentral:rRNA from 1 species